GUGCUCUUGCUACGCUACCACGGGCACGAUGCUAAUAAUUACAAGAAUAACAAGCGAGCAUUUAUAGCUUGAUUGACUUAAUCUGGUAUUUGAACAUUUUAAUAAACCAACAAAGGCCAGAUUAAGAAUAUUUCAUAUCGUUCAUAAUUGGCAAGACUGUAAUUCGAAAACGUACAAUUUUUACACUUUAUUAGCACUAACUUAGCAAUUUGGAAACGAUAAUAACGAUUCCCCGGUUGCACUUCCCGUUGCGGCUGAGCGUGCACAUGACGUCAGUGGCUGAGCGUGCAUAUGGCUGAGAGUGCACGUUCUGUAGCCAGACCCUUUUGCGCGCUUUCAAUCGAUAGUGUCGGAAAUCAGCUGCCACGCCUUGAAUCUCUGACGUAAUUUCCUGUUUAAAUUACAAAACGAGCAGAAAAUUGCGUGCAGGGGUUUCAGAAGUGAGCAGAAAACUCAGCGCGCAAGAACCAGUUAAUCGAUCGCGAGGCUGCGAGAAGCGAGCGCUCUUAUCUGCGUUUCAAAAGCGCGGUGCGCGCUCAUAGUGUCUGUUUUGCUCGGUUUAGCUAUGCAUCUGCGCUCUCGUAUAUUUGGCACUGAUCUCACUCCAUAGAAUCGUCGUCAGUGAAGCGACGCAGCGCAGUUGAUAGGGGUGGGUCUGUGUGGUUUGUCCCCUUGGUCUGGGGUUUUUGUCAUCGCGACAUUUCAGUCACCAAACCCAAGCGCAGUACAAUCCUGCACAGCUGAAGUCACCAGACAGAUACUGUAAUGGACACAUUUAAAUGCGACGACUGUAUUGUCACCACGAUACCGCUGGUCAAGGGCGACCGCGGGCAGUCAGAGACCUUGACGCCGGAAAAGUUUCACCGUGUGUUUAAAGAUUCAUACAAGGUCUUUCGUAAAGGACAGCCCCAAGCGCUGGGGACUGCUCAGAUUGUCACAGGGCUGCUUGCUAUCACUCUUUUCUUGGCUCAGAUUCCCCUAGUACCACACAUGAUGCAUUAUGCGAUGCCCACUCAUCUGGCAAAGU